AAAUCGGUGUGGUCUUCUCGCCAGCGCCACAAAAUCAUGACAUCGAAAUUGCGGUUCAGCAAAUUUGUGCGCUAUCUCGCCGGAUUCGCGCGGAACAUAAUUUUCAACGCAGUCCGAGAGACGGAACGAAGUUGAUUCAGCAGUCGCAAUGUUCUGUGAGCGGUUAUUCUACAUCUGCCGCUAGUUCCAGUCAGGGACUAGACCGAUCUUUGAAGCGGCUGGAUUAAGGUGUAAAACGCUCUGGAAGAAUUUUAAGCCGAGAUCUGAAAGAUGUUCCGGAGGAAAUCCGUAUUAACCGUUCCGCUUCCAGCGCUCAAUCUUGACUGGUUAUAUUCGUUGUUGCGGCCACCUAGUUCCAGAAGGCCUUCCCGAGGUGCGUACAGCUCUGGUUCAGGAGUAAUGGAAAAAGAGCUUGAACGCAGCAAUGGACAUUUCCCACUACAACGCCCUUCUUCGGGUGUAUAUGGAUAAUGAGAAUUCCUUCUCGCCAACGGAAUUUCUGGCGGAUUGGCACCUAUCAGCGAUUAAUUUCGCGCUACUGCCAAGAGGGAGCAAACAAGGCUCUGGAAUUCUCUGGAAUUGAAAUUCUUGCGAGAGAAUCAGCUUCCAGUAAUUGGCAGCGUUUUCAACGCUGCGCCAGGACAAUUUGUUUUUCGCCACGUAUCGAUAUAGAGCGGCGCUAAAAAACGAUAUUCAAUAAAA